AGUGAACGCUGGCGGUAGGCCUAACACAUGCAAGUCGAACGGCAGCACAGUAAGAGCUUGCUCUUACGGGUGGCGAGUGGCGGACGGGUGAGGAAUACAUCGGAAUCUACUUUUUCGUGGGGGAUAACGUAGGGAAACUUACGCUAAUACCGCAUGCGACCUACGGGUGAAAGCAGGGGAUCUUCGGACCUUGCGCGAUUGAAUGAGCCGAUGUCGGAUUAGCUAGUUGGCGGGGUAAAGGCCCACCAAGGCGACGAUCCGUAGCUGGUCUGAGAGGAUGAUCAGCCACACUGGAACUGAGACACGGUCCAGACGCCUACGGGAGGCAGCAGUGGGGAAUAUUGGACAAUGGGCGCAAGCCUGAUCCAGCCAUACCGCGUGGGUGAAGAAGGCCUUCGGGUUGUAAAGCCCUUUUGUUGGGAAAGAAAAGCAGCAGGUUAAUACCCCGCUGUUCUGACGGUACCCAAAGAAUAAGCACCGGCUAACUUCGUG
rnacentral:rRNA from 1 species